UACGUAGGGUGCGAGCGUUAAUCGGAAUUACUGGGCGUAAAGCGUGCGUAGGUGGUUCGUUAAGUCUGUCGUGAAAUCCCCGGGCUCAACCUGGGAAUGGCGAUGGAUACUGGCGGGCUAGAGUGCGGGAGAGGAGAGUGGAAUUCCCGGUGUAGCAGUGAAAUGCGUAGAGAUCGGGAGGAACAUCAGUUGCGAAGGCGGCUCUCUGGACCAGCACUGACACUGAGGCACGAAAGCGUGGGGAGCAAACAGG
rnacentral:rRNA from 1 species